CGUAUUAGCUCAAUAAGUGGAGACCUGGAAAUUUUGAAAACAUCGAAGAAAGCACGCGUGCACUGGGGAGAGAUCUGGUGCUAAAGCGAAGGGAUCGAGGGCGGCGUGGUGGGAUCUCGCGCCAUGGGCGAGCAGUUCUCUGGUAGAGCGGAAAAUUUGGUCAGGGAGGAGGCAACAAAAGGGUUGAACCCAGGGCUGGUAGUCUUACUUGUGGUUGGUGGUCUUGUGCUGUUUUUCCUUGUCGGAAACUAUGCACUCUACAGGUAUGCAGAAAAGACCCUUCCACCAAAGAAGAAGAAACCUGUCUCCAAAAAGAAAUUGAAGAGGGAAAGGCUUAAGCAAGGGGUCUCCGCUCCAGGAGAGUAGAAGUAGUGCCUACAAAACUAGCAAGAAAUCUUGAUCAUAGUGCUGAUUGUCAGUUUAGUUGUAUGUCGAGGUCUAGUUCUUUGUUAAGCUUGGAAACCUCGAAAGUUUACCAUUUGAUUUGGUAUAAGCUAUAUUUAGUUGGAAAUUCAAGGUAGAUUGGAGUUACUAAACAAUUCCAGCUGGUGCUUGCUUGCUUGAAUGCCAUUAUUAUAUGCUUGUUGCAAUGCCACACCAUUACCAUCCUACUCUCCUACCCGCCCUCCUCCUCCUCCUCCUCCUCCUCCCCUCUUCUAAUACGUUGGGAACACCAUCACCAGUCUUUGAACCCUGGACCUGCAUGGAAUGUUACUUAGGCUCAGGCACAUGCGCAUGCAAUUAUAGUAAUUUCUCUUUCAUUAUGAAAAUAUUCAGGUUACAGUAUAGUACCAGUUUUUAGCUGGGGAUCUCUUUCUAAGAUCCGCAAUAUGUUUAAUUGUUUAUUGCUCUGCAAUUGUCUAUUACUACAUCUUGAUGUAAAGUUGAAUAAAAUAUUUUUACACACAUUAAUCUCCCAUUCUUAAUGAAAAUAUUCAGGUUAUAUUAUAGCCCCAUCUCUUUAAGAUAUGCAAUACAUUUAAUUGUUUAUUGCUAUGCAUUACAUUCAAUUGUUUGUUGCUACAUCUUGCUGUAAAAUUGAACAGAAUAUUUUUAUGGUUUUGAAGGGUGGAAGUAAAUAUUAGUCGACAAUGAAUGGCACGUUUUACUGUCCUGUGGCCACAGACUUGCUUAAUAUUCUGUUGGUAUCUUUAUUUUUCUGCUAGCAUCCUUUUCUUUCUGUUUUUGGUGGAAGAUGCCCAUAGGCAUUCUCCAGCCAAAAAGAUGAUACUGGAACCCCCCUAUGUGGAGAUGAUUGGUAUAACACACAAUCUGCAGCUUCUUUGGUUGUGUACUGCAAGAUCUCUAUUCAAAGUGCACCAUGUGAACGCAUACUUUUAUGUUCCAUCAAAAUCUACCUUUCUGUUCAUCUUAUUUAGUUAUCAAAAUACAAGGUGAUCGAACCUUCCAUGAAAACUGUAAGAGGUAGCAGGUUUGCGGGCAGUUUGCAAUGCCUCCCAUCAAUCAGCGUUGACAAACCGGCAGUCCUUUCUUAUCUCACCUUGAUCGAUGGUCAGUGGAUUGUUCUCUGAUAGCAAGAGAAGUGCACCUGCAAACCGUUCAUGGAAGUAGCUGUUAUUAGCUGCCAUCAGUUCCACAAAAGAAGAGGUUGUAGGAUCAGAAGCGAGCUGCUGAUCUAUCAGCAACAGCCCCCUGUGCUUCAACAAGUUCUUGUAGUACAUGUUGUCGAUCACCAUCGGCGUCUCUCGGUCGUUCCUUGAGUACGAUACCUUCUUUGGAUCCGGAUUUGGUGUUGGACACCGGACUCGUAGGUAUUCACCAUACUCAGGAGCUAUUGUGGGAUCAAUUGUGGGAUAGAGUCUACCAACAAGGUUCACACAAUGAACUCGGCCGACUGAAUGUGCUCCUGAAACGAGGAGGGUAGCCUUUUAUUGUUCUGAGGAUGGAAGAAUUGCUAGUUUUCUAAUGGAGAUGGUGUCAUACCUAAAAGAGCCACUGUACCCUCUGUAUCAAUUCCUACUGACUGGAAUCGUGAGAGAACCAGCGAGCUGGAGUCAUUGUGAUUAGGAAUAGAGUCUUCCACCAUUUCUACGUGGCUUUCCUUGCUAUCUCUUCUUCCAGUUUUCAUGGGAAUGUAUGGUCCUCCAAGCUGUUAAGAAUUUUUUUGUGUACAGGGUUACAUGAUUAGUUGUUGACUCUCGAAAGAAAUUGAGAAAAUGCAUCAAAACCUGGAAAGAAUUAAUAAAUAUGCAAAAAUUAUGUUUAGAAA